UACGGAGGGGGCUAGCGUUGUCCGAAGUUACUGGGCGUAAAGCGCGCGUAGGCGGGUUGGUAAGUCCGCUGUGAAAGCCCGGAGCUUAACUCCGGAGGGUCGGUGGAUACUGCCAGUCUUGAAGGUGCUAGGGGGAGAUGGAAUUACCGGUGUAGCGGUGAAAUGCGUAGAUAUCGGUAGGAACACCAGUGGCGAAGGCGGUCUCUGGGCAACAACUGACGCUGAGGAGCGAAAGCGUGGGGAGCGAACAGG
rnacentral:rRNA from 1 species